rnacentral:rRNA from 1 species
GACGAACGCUGGCGGCGUGCUUAACACAUGCAAGUCGAACGGAAAGGCCCUGCUUUUGUGGGGUGCUCGAGUGGUGAACGGGUGAGUAACACGUGAGUAACCUGCCCUUGACUUUGGGAUAACUUCAGGAAACUGGGGCUAAUACCGGAUAGGAGCUCCUGCUGCAUGGUGGGGGUUGGAAAGUUUCGGCGGUUGGGGAUGGACUCGCGGCUUAUCAGCUUGUUGGUGGGGUAGUGGCUUACCAAGGCUUUGACGGGUAGCCGGCCUGAGAGGGUGACCGGCCACAUUGGGACUGAGAUACGGCCCAGACUCCUACGGGAGGCAGCAGUGGGGAAUAUUGCACAAUGGGCGGAAGCCUGAUGCAGCAACGCCGCGUGCGGGAUGACGGCCUUCGUGUUGUAAACCGCUUUCGCCUGUGACGAAGCGUGAGUGACGGUAAUGGGUAAAGAAGCACCGGCUAACUACGUG